AUUCGCACAUACACCCCCACUCUUCCCCAGCUGAAUCCUUAUUUUCGCUACACACAUUAUCUUACCGUGGAAAUUCGUCUACUCCUUGUCGCUGCUGAGCAUCAUAGUUGGAAUUGUGCGGCCUUGGCUCCCUCACCAUCGUCAGUCAAGUUCUCUUUCACACCGUCGUCAGUCAAGUUCUCUUCCACACCUUCGCCGUGCUCGUUGAGGAUUUUAAGAUGCCAAGGAAAGCUCGCUACACGAAAGGCACAAGAGUGGAGCCACCACGUCAGCAACCUCCAGCUGCACCUCCUGCGUCUUCACCAUCCGCUGACGAUGACUGGCUCAUUCCCCCGCCCCCAGUAACGGUGGGGUCUCCACAACGGCUCCUCUCUGACCCUUUCGUCUGCCCCGGAGUGAACCAAGACCUGAGCCACAAACCGCUAACGGUGUACAAGUGACGGAACUGUGCAAUGAAGACAUAGACCCGGAGGCGAACGAGGUGGAUUCGUUUCACGAACACAUUGACCGGAUGUUUGCUGCUUCUGAUGCUGAAAAGCGCAAAGGACGAAAGACUAUUGAGUUUUGGGAUGUUGAUCUCAUUGAUUAUGAUGGAAUAGUCAAGGAUGCUAAAAUGAGUGUGAGGGAGGCUAUGGAGCGGUCUCUUAAUGGUAGCAAGAUCAUACUGAGGUUCAACAAGAAACUGCAAGCAGUCG